ensembl:snRNA Rnu6-658 RNA, U6 small nuclear 658
GUUAUUUGGCACAUAUACUAAAAUUGCAACGAUAAAGAGAAGAUUAGCAUGGCCCCUUCACAAGGAUAACAUGCAAAUUCGUGAAGCGAUCCACAUUUUU